UGUGACUUUAGAAAUUUUAGCCAUCUAAAGAGAAAUGGAGUAGUGGACAUGAGAGGCACUAUGGGAAAGGUAGUUUGUAGUGGCAUGCCAAUAAAGAGGUAGGCAGCUUGGGAAAUGAAGUCUGAUACACAGUGAUGGUAUAGAGAAAAGCAUGCUGGGAAAGACAGCAUAGGCAAUACCUGCUUGCCCAAUUCCUCACUAGGCUCUGCACCCUUCCUCUUUCAAGGGAGCCACUUCAUUGGUGAACAUAGGAUGGGCGUGUGUGUUUGGAGGCCAAGAGAAGGAGCACACUCUUGAGAGGUAAUCCAUGAUACUCUCGUGCAGUCUCUUGAAGCACCCGAUGUUUAGUAGGGGUGAUGCCUUUUCCAUGUCAGAGUUUUGCCGAGGUGCCAGGACAUUUCCUCUUCCAAUAUGCCGCUGUAGGUACUGGGGCUGCCACAGCUCUGAAUAGGGGGCAUAGCUACAAGUCAGGCUCUUCUUCAGGGGAUAACAUAGAGCCAUGGAAGCAUUUCUAGCCACCUUCUGGCCUGGUGAUGUCAGAACAACAGGCAGGUGCUGUGGUGAGGACUGGGUGUGGAAGAGGCCAAAGGUGGGCUCACUGGCCCUUUAUUUUAGGUGAAGACCAGAGAUAGAUGGAUGAACUGGAGAAGGGGGAGACACAACUCCAAGGUCUACAGGCUUGGCUGAGGUGGUGCAGCCUAGUGAAAACCCCAGGUCCUUGUGUGACUGCUCUUUGAUGAUGAGCAAGCAGCACUCUGAAGUAAGCCCAUAGUGUGUGCUGUGGAGCAGCAAGAUACAGCCAUGGCUGGAUGGAACUCUAUUCCAUCUAGAAGCUUGGCUCCCAUGAACAUUUUAACUAUGUCAGGCAAUAGGACUGGAAUGUGCUGAUUGCCUACUUGGCUCUUUCCUCAAGAGAAAAUCAUGGUGAGCAUUUGUCACUGAUCAUCAGAUGUUGGUUCCUCAUCAGAAGUUCCACUGUAGAUUUCCACCUCAGCAGGACAGUUUACAAUCAGUGGAGGAUGCUUCCUACUUUGGAGGAGAUGAGAUGGAAAGAUUUUAAACAUCCUAUGAGUCCUCUGCUGCAACUCUU